AGAAACGGGACAGUUUCUGGAGUCAAUUUCAAAAUGAUGUUUCUAACUCUAUAGACGUCCAUUUGAAAUUCUAAAAAUAUGUCUGUUUUCCCCUUUGAGUUUUCUAAGUAUUUCCGCAAGAAAUACUCAAUUUGGAUAUCUUUGGACUGAGUUAUUAAGGUUUUGACGUCCCAAGGUCAAUCUGGAUUUUCUGUGAAAUACUUCACUGUUUUCAGUAAAACGUCUAUAUCAUAUGAUCUUGGAAAAUUUUCAUAUUUUAACCUAGAAAACUACUUGAAAUUAUCUUUCUAAUGCCACAAAUUUCAUAUGAAACGGAGUUGGG
rnacentral:lncRNA from 1 species